UACGGGGGGGGGCAAGCGUUGUUCGGAAUUACUGGGCGUAAAGGGCGCGUAGGCGGUUCGUACAGUCAGACGUGAAAUUCCUGGGCUCAACCUGGGGGCUGCGUUUGAUACGUGCGGACUUGAGUGCGGAAGAGGGUCGUGGAAUUCCCAGUGUAGAGGUGAAAUUCGUAGAUAUUGGGAAGAACACCGGUGGCGAAGGCGGCGACCUGGUCCGAUACUGACGCUGAGGCGCGAAAGCGUGGGGAGCGAACAGG
rnacentral:rRNA from 1 species